GCCACCAUGGUGUAGCGGUUUGAGUGCUAGACUAGGACACUGGGAGUCCAGGGUUCAAAACCCUGGUUGAUGUCA